rnacentral:rRNA from 1 species
UACGUAGGGCGCAAGCGUUGUCCGGAAUUAUUGGGCGUAAAGAGCUCGUAGGCGGUUUGUCGCGUCUGCUGUGAAAACCUAAGGCUCAACCUUGGGCUUGCAGUGGGUACGGGCAGACUAGAGUGCGGUAGGGGAGACUGGAAUUCCUGGUGUAGCGGUGAAAUGCGCAGAUAUCAGGAGGAACACCGGUGGCGAAGGCGGGUCUCUGGACGGAUACUGACGCUGAGGCGCGAAAGCGUGGGGAUCAAACAGG